rnacentral:rRNA from 1 species
AUGACAUCACUCAAGGUACUUGAUUUGUCAUUCAACCAUCUGAAUAGGACUGAAAACCUUAUGACCGUUCUUGAAAAUCUUUGCUGUUUGGAAAUCCUCAACCUCUCUAUCAAUUCUAUGAAUGGGGAUAUAGUGGAGGUGAUGGAGGGGUUACCGCGAUGCGCAUGGGGAAAAUUGUCAGAGCUGCAUUUCCAUCAAAACGAAUUCAUUGGGACCCUGCCAAAUUUUAUAGGGCAAUUUAGCAGCUUGAGCAUACUUGACCUGUCUAGCAACAAUCUUGUUGGAUUUCUACCACCAGGGACUUGGAAUUUGGCGCAUUUAACUGACCUUGAUAUCAGCCUGAAUCAGCUCAAUGGGAAUGUACCAACUGAAAUUGGUGCCCUUACUGCUCUGACUUCUUUGGACAUAAGCGGCAACAACUUGACCGGAAGUAUACCAGCCGAGCUUGGUUCUCUCAAGAUUCUGGAUUAUCUGGACCUAAGCAACAACAACCUUAGUGGUCUGAUCACAGAAGAACACUUUGCAAACCUAAAAAGUUUAAACUCCAUAGACUUGUCUUCCAAUAACUUGAAGAUUGUAGUGGAUUCAGAUUGGCAUUCUCUGUUUAGGCUACAAUAUGCAGAUUUUCGAUCUUGCCAGAUCGGUCCUCUCUUUCCAGCUUGGCUUCAGCAGCUGCGGGGGAUCACUAAACUUUACAUUUCGAGCACUGGUUUGGACGACAAGUUUCCUGAUUGGUUUUGGUAUACAUUUUCACAGACAUUACAUCUCGACAUCUCUAACAACCAAAUAAGUGGCAGCUUGCCAGCACACCUGGAUGGUAUGGCUUUGGAAACUCUUUCUCUAACAUCAAACCAGCUCACCGGGUCAAUACCUUCAUUGCUGGCAAAUAUCACUGCGUUAGACAUCUCCAACAAUAACUUUUCAGGAAUAAUACCAUCAAAUUUUGAAGCCUCCCAACUUGAACUAUUGAUUGUCUAUUCAAAUCGAAUUGUUGGGUCCAUUCCAGAACCUGUUUGCAAAUUGCAACAACUGUUUUAUCUGGAUUUGUCAAACAAUUUUUUGGAGGGUGAAAUUCCUCAGUGUUUUGACAUCCAAAAACUACAGUAUUUCGUGCUCAGUAACAACAGUUUAUCAGGAAAGUUCCCUGCAUUUUUGCAGAAUAACACAAAUAUGGAGUUCUUGGAUCUUGCAUGGAACAAGUUGUCUGGAAGAUUGCCUACAUGGAUUGGAGAUCUGGGGAAUUUAGGUUUUGUACUCCUGAGCCACAAUGCAUUUUCUGAUAGUAUUCCAGUCGACAUAACAAUGCUUAAGUAUCUUCAAUACCUGGAUCUAUCAAGCAAUAAUUUUUCUGGUGCAGUACCUUGGCAUCUGUCAAACUUAACAUUUAUGACAAAGGUAAAUAUGGAUUUUGUGGAAAUGUAUCGAGUCAUGGGAUACAAAAUGAUCGUGAUGGAACCUGGUCUAUUCGGAGAUAUAUUUUCAGUGGUUACAAAAGGACAACAACUUGUGUAUGGUAAAACACUUGCAGAUUUUGUAAGCAUUGAUUUAUCAAGCAACUCCUUGACUGGUGAAAUCCCUGGAGACAUCACUUUCCUUGUUGCACUGAUGAAUUUGAAUUUAUCAUCAAACAAAUUGAGUGGACAAAUUCCAAACAUGAUUGGGGCCAUGCAGUCACUGGUAUCUCUUGACCUCUCUGGGAACAAGCUCUCCGGUGGAAUCCCGUCCAGCUUGUCAAGUCUAACAUCUUUGGAGGCCUUGAACCUAUCCUACAACAAUUUAUCUGGAAGGAUACCCUCUGGCCGCCAACUUGACACCCUCAAUUUGGACAACCCGUCAAUUAUGUACAUCGGCAACAGUGGACUUUGUGGGCCUCCUCUCCACAACAAUUGUUCAGGAAAUGGUACUUCUAUCGAUGGUGAUCUCGGAAGCAGCAAGCAAGAGUUUGAUCCACUGACCUUUCAUUUUGGUUUUGUGCUGGGACUUGUGGCGGGGCUCUGGAUAGUGUUUUGUGCACUGUUGUUCAAGGGGACAUGGAGAAUUGCUUUUUUCCGGUGA